UUCCGCUCUAGGUGGACCACUCUUAGUCGUCUUGUUUGACAUUUCCCUUUCUAAGAUUUAAACCAUCUGGUAAACUCCCAGUAAUUUCCUCAUGACUCUUUAUUCACACUGCUGACAUGAUACUUCUAGUUCUUUUAUCAUAGCUUCUCAUUCCUGAUUUCUUGGAUUUCUCUCUUGCUUGGCUAGACUUCAUUAAGCAGAUGUUACUGUAAGGUACAUGGGUGCUGUAACACUAAGAUUUUGCUUGAUUUUAAAUUGUAGUCUUCUGAUGGACAACUUGGUUUGGUUCAGAAACACAAGUUGUAAGCUAUUCUUUCUCUUGGGAUUUUGCAGACAUUUUCUCACCCUCACCUGCUAAGGAGGUCACUAUGGACAAAGGUGAGACCAAACCUAUUUCGUCCCUUUAUAUGAGACUGGAUAUAUUUCUCUUGAAUGUACAUUUGAAUAUUUCUGUCACUUUUUUUAAGCCUUGCAUUUCAGUCAUUUCACAGUGGGUAUUUUAGAAUUGUUUUAUUCUUUCCUAUAGGAACAAAAAAUUUGAUCAUUUUAUUUCUAAAAUUACUUAAGUCUUUGUUAUCUCCCAUCAAAUUUUGAGGGUUCCCUCAGGCUUCUUGCUCUUGUGGCUGAUGGAUGUUCAGCUGUCCUGUGUUUGUACGUCUUAGCCAGUUUCCCACACAGUCUAUCUUUGCCUUGCAUUUCCGUCUUGACCCGCCUCAGCUCAGUUUGCCCCUACUUCAGGGCGCUUUAGACUUUUCUUUGAAACUCUGCGUGUCUUGUUUGAUUAUUUAAGGAAGAUCAUGUCAAGUGGAUUUUAUCUGAGUCUCUGGAGAGUAAUUCGGUGAUUUCUGUUUCAUUACAUAAUUCCUUCUUUUUUCCAUGCAUUUUUCUCAUCUGCCUUUUUCUCCUGUCUUUGCGGUUGAUUCUCCUUCACGACUGGCGCUAGUUCCUUGAUGAUCACCACCCACCUUGGAAGGCUGCCACCUGUUUGCUCACUGAUUUUACCGGGAGCCCAGGGCUCUGAGCAGUGGGCAGGCGGCGCAGAGGAACAUUCCAUAUCGGUUCUGCUCUUGAACUCCUCACAAUCACCAUGGUGUUCUCCUGAUGCUGGAGCCCGCCUCCCCCAGUCGCCAGUGGUCCAGUUUUCUGUGGCUUGUCACUGUGAACUUCGAGUUGUGAGCUUUUCAUUUCACCCUGCAGGGCUCUGUAUUUAG
rnacentral:lncRNA from 1 species